rnacentral:rRNA from 1 species
AACGCGAAGAACCUUACCAGCCCUUGACAUGUCUAUGACCGGUACCAGAGAUGGAACCUUCCCUUCGGGGCAUAGAGCACAGGUGCUGCAUGGCUGUCGUCAGCUCGUGUCGUGAGAUGUUGGGUUAAGUCCCGCAACGAGCGCAACCCCCGUCCUUAGUUGCUACCAUUUAGUUGAGCACUCUAAGGAGACUGCCGGUGAUAAGCCGCGAGGAAGGUGGGGAUGACGUCAAGUCCUCAUGGCCCUUACGGGCUGGGCUACACACGUGCUACAAUGGCGGUGACAAUGGGACGCUAAGAGGCAACUCUUCGCAAAUCUCAAAAAGCCGUCUCAGUUCGGAUUGGGCUCUGCAACUCGAGCCCAUGAAGUUGGAAUCGCUAGUAAUCGUGGAUCAGCAUGCCACGGUGAAUACGUUCCCGGGCCUUGUACACACCG